rnacentral:pre_miRNA from 1 species
CAAGUACUCCCUCCAUCCGGAAUUACUUGUCAUCAAAAUGGAUGUGUCUAGAACUAAAAUACAUCUAGAUACAUCCAUUUCAAUGACAAGUAUUUUUGGACAGAGGGAGUACAAG